CAGUGAAGGGUCCAGUGACCCAGUCUCUGGGGCUGGGGCGCGUUUUGCUCCGGUUUUCUCCCCGCGUGGUGAUGUGCGGAGGCUCGGUGACCAGAGGGGAAGUGCAGCGGCUUUGACACACGUGCUGAGUUCGGGGGCUGCCCUGAACCCCUUUUGGCCUCCCGCCUGCCUGCAUAGUGCCCCAGGCCCUGCCCCACAUGCCGUCCAGCCCCCCUUUUUCACAAGUGGCCCAGGAGUCAGGGCAACGGGCCGUCACUAGCUCUGACCUGUCCCCGGAGUGACCUCGAGCAAGGCACUUCGCUCCUGCCUCAGUUUCCCCACUGCCCCAUGUGAGUGAUCGGUCCUAGGACGCGUGCAAGGCGUGAUUGGCUAACUACAAAAUGCUCUGAAAUCUGGGGUGAGAGGUCCUAGGGGGAAAGCAAGUUAUGGGCUGCCCGCAGCCCUGCUCCCACAAAGGGGGUCCCUGCCCGGCCCUGGCUUGGAGCUGCAAGGAGACCCUCCGGCGGCUGAGUCAGGGCAGUAACGGGCUCAGGGAAGGGUGAUGCGAACCCAGAAGACCAGGCAAACUCUUGCAGACAUGGGCCUUGUCCGGGUGUCUGCUACGAUGUUCCCCUCCCUUCUCCUCCUGCCCUUUGCUCUGGCUGCCUCUCUGCACCCCAGAGUGACUUCCGGCUAGUCCUGCUGCCUUGGGUAGAGUGAGCUCUCUGCUUAGGUACAUCCCCAGGGAGCUGGGCUGGGGGCCUGGGCUUAGAUACCAGCUGUGAUCUCAGCAGCAGGGCAUAGGAAGAGGCUGGGUUGGACACGCUCUUACCAAUGUUCCUCUGCCUGUUUCAGACGAUGGAGAGGGACUCCCCGCCCCCACACAACGAUUGGGGCUGAAGUGGAUCCGUGGAGCGACUGAAUCUUGAAAAUGGGCGGCUGUGAAACAUCCCGGCCCUGGGCACCCAGGACAGAGGGGCCUGGGUUUUAUCGUGUUGCACGGGAAGCCAGGACGACCCAGGAAGUUGGGGGCAGGAACUCUUGAGACAAGAUUGGCUGGUUUUGCUUCUCCUGACUUACAUCUGUGAUUCCUAUACAGAAUCCAAGUAAUGCUGCCAGGUACCCCGGGAUACCACACCUGUCUGGAGCAGGUGUGGGGAGGGAGACUUCCACUUCAAACCCUUCUUUGCCACUUCCCCACCUGCGGGCGAAUCCAGCAACAGCUUCUUCACCGUCGCCUCUCCCAGCAAAGAGCUGGAGCCACAUCCCGGAGCUAGCAGGGCCUACGAGACCAAGAGGAUGUCGCUGCCUUUGGAAAUUCAGCCCUUCUGGGGAUGGGGGAAAGAACGAAAACGCGAAUUGUCUGGGCUGCGAUUCGUCUCAGAAUUGGGGUGUUUCUAUUGUAAUGCAGUAGCCCUCUGAUUGUUACCGCAGAUUGCCUUGUCCUCUCAUGCUAGGCUGUACUUCCCUGGCUACAGGUCUGAUUGUCAAUUCCGUUGUCCUGACCUGUCACCGACAGUCGGUAAACCUCUCCCAUCCUGGGAUGGUCCCUCUCAGGUUGUGAAACUGACAUCCUGUGAUUGUAGUACCCCAGUGGACCAAGAUGAGCAUCAAAGGCACCUCCCUGCCUUUGAGGAUCCGGGUCUGGCUCCGUUGUACGCUGCUUACUGGGUCACACAUUUGUGUGUGUGUGUCCAUGCGUGCAAAUCAGGGUGUGUAUCCUGUUGUGUCUUUGCCUCUGCGCAUGUACGCGGGUCACGCUAUUCGUGCGUUCGUAUAAAUGCAGAUAUUGGGUGUUGUCGAUGUGUGUAAGUCAGUAUGGCUGUCUACUCUUGCGGCUUUUUGUGCCAGAACUAUGCAAAUGGGGCAAAGCAGGGACUAUCGCUGGGCCUCGUUUGCAUACCUAAUGAGCUGCCGUUUUUGCAGACGAGGCUCUUGCGCCAGAAGGCUCUGUCUACCCUGCCCCGUCUUGCGCAACAAAACCCCUCUUGCGCAACGCCGU